AUGCUCACUUGGGCAGCACAUAUACUGAAAUUGAAAUGAUACAGAGAAGAUUAGCACACCCCCUGUACAGGGAAGACAUGUAUUUUUUGAGGAAUAUUUCAGUGUUUA
ensembl:snRNA U6 U6 spliceosomal RNA